AGAGGUGGCAAGCGUUGUUCGGAAUUACUGGGCGUAAAGGGCGCGUAGGCGGCCUUGUCAGUCAGACGUGAAAUCCCCAGGCUUAACUUGGGAACUGCGUCUGAUACUACAAGGCUGGAGUUCGGGAGAGGAAUGUGGAAUUCCAGGUGUAGCGGUGAAAUGCGUAGAUAUCUGGAGGAACACCGGUGGCGAAGGCGGCAUUCUGGACCGAAACUGACGCUGAUGCGCGAAAGCCAGGGGAGCAAACGGGAUUAGAUACCCCGGUAGUCCUGGCCCUAAACGAUGAGUGCUUGGUGUGGCGGGUAUCGAUCCCUGCCGUGCCGAAGCUAACGCAUUAAGCACUCCGCCUGGGGAGUACGGUCGCAAGGCUGAA
rnacentral:rRNA from 1 species